ensembl:ncRNA K10C3.12 ncRNA
UUAAAUCAGAGAAUAUACAGGGCUAACUUAACCAAAAACUUCUUCAUUUUUCUUCCGUCACUAUUCCAUCUAGUGGUCACCGACGGACGAUGACGACGGCGUAUAACAACCUCAAGGACAUUUCAGGUUAUCGACACCACCUCCCAGCGCGUCGCCGACCCCCGCGCACACGGUAAGGAGCGACACCAACAGCACUACUAGUAGCAAAAAAAAGAGAAU